CGUGAGCCACCAUCGGACGCAGGGUAAGUUUUUUUUUGUUUUUUUUUUCUCUCUUUAAGGUGCUCAUUGAUUCAUUCCUUGUUCUAGUUUUCUGUCCAAAAUCCCAAUAGAAACACAACACACCCUGAGUAGUAUGAUACGGGCCCGGCCUUGAGAAUUUGAGGGCUUAGGCAAGCAUUUGAAGUGGAGGCCCAGAAUUCUCUAAUUUUUUUCAAUAUAAAAUGAGUAUAAAAGAUAAAAACAUUUAAUUAGAUAACUAGACUCACUAAAAAAAAUAAAAAACACAGCUUAUGUUUUUAGACCUAGAUCUAAAAGAAUAUUAUGUCUUCAUUCUUCCACAAGGCCGGGUUGGUAUUUUACUUCUUUUGAUCAAAGGUGACUUUCAUUACAAACAACAAACUUUAUAACACAGGCCCAAAAACAGAACAAAAAAAAACCACACAAACAAACGGCAGUGGGUCAACCAAACAAACCAAAAGAAGCCCAACCAAAAGUUGAGUCCCAAACAAAAAGAACGCCAAAAACAAGUGAUACAUCCAAUAUUACUGACUUUAGUGAACGUUACUCCAUGAAAACUAGGUUCAGAUGCCAUUGAAGCCAGCAAAUGAUAACACCCAAUAAGAGUCCUCCUCCUCCUCUUCUUUUCUUCUUUACUGUAUCAAUAAAAUAAUAAUCGAUAUCAUUAAAAAAAAAACUAUUUUUAAUCUCUAUUUAUUGUAUCAAUAAAAUAAUAAUAGAUAUCAUAAAAAAAACCUAUGCAAUCGGUGUUAAUCUGCAUAGACAUAUACGAGAUAUUACCUCAGUAUUUCAGUCAAGAAGAAAAUCCAUGCUACUAGUCGUGUUAACUAGAAACUCGUACAAAAUCGAUCAGUCGAGUUGGAAACAUUUUGGUCAGCUCGUUCUCGAUUUCCUCUUCAGGCUGCAUAUGAAUCAAAUAAUAUGAUAAUAUAAAUAGGAAACUUUAUUCUAAUCCUUAGCAAAGAAAACUUUUAGACUAAAACUAUAAAAUCAAAAUUUAAUUUUAAUACCUUGACACAUUAAUCACCUCAUUUAUUAAUUAUAUUCUAUUGUUUUAAUUAUUUCUCUUUUGCCACUCUAUACUAUAGUUUGGUGAUAUUCCUCUUCACUUGGAAGUGAAAGGUCUUAGGUUCGAAUCUCGUGAAUGACGAAUUCGAUACUAAAUUAGGUUGUCCAUUGUGUGGCUUAGCCGAACUCUUCCUCCCCUUAGUGCAAAAAUAUCGAUGUACUCAAAAAAUUGUUUCUCUUUUUUCUUCCUAAUUUUAAUGUAUUAAUUAUAUUUAAUUAUAAUUAUUAUUUUCAUUUCAUUCAUCAUAAUAUAUUUUGUUGUAAACAUUUAGGUAAACUAAUUUUUGUUAUACAAUAUAUUUCAAUAUACUUUGUCUUCUUUAUUUAGGUACAUUAAUUCAUUUAAUAUAUUUUAGUACAUCAAUUUUGGUACAACACAUUUAGGUACAUUAAUUCAAUAUAAUACAUUUCGGUGCAUAUAUUUCGGUACAUACAUUUUAGUAUAUACAUUUCGGUACAAUUAGGUACAUUAAUUCAAGAUGAUACAUUUCGGUAUUAACAUUUAGGUACAUUAAUUGAGUUUUUCAAGUUUGAAGAAUGUUAAAUAAAAUUAAUAAAUUAAAAAAAAACUUUUUUGAUAAAAAAAAAAAUAAAUGUGUAUAUUAACAAAUUCAAAUAUUCUAAUGGAAGACAUUGGAUAAAAUACACAUUAAAUAAUUUGAAUUAAGAACACAUCAAAGGACUAUAAUCAAUAAGUAAUUUAACACCAGGUUUUUAUUUAAUUUCAAUAUUUUUCAAGGAUUAAAGCUAAAAACCCCUAAUAUAAAAACAAAAAAAUUAUAACAUAUGAUUUAGAUCACUUAAUUUCUACUUUUCUAGUAUUAGUAGUAUUAAUCAGUAAUACACCUUGACAAGCAGAACAGAAGCAUACCAUGCGUGUUUUCGAAUGCUGAUAGAUGUGAUUAGCGGCAUUCUUUGAGAAAUGCAAGACACCCACGACGGUAUUUUUGUAUCCCGUUCCCUGCUGCGGCCCAUAAUUAAGCAGCGACUUGAAAGCGUCUUUAUAAAUAGAUUGUUGGAUCUGUGAAUCAAAGUUAACCACUGUUGUGUCGAACUUUUCAUACUCUCGUUCCCAAGUUUUCCUUCUGUUAUCAUUCAAGUGAAGUAUAGCUCGGAUUGGAAAACGAAAUCGUUCGGUAGUUGAUUGAAGCAGAGGAUGAUGGAACAACUUUUUGAAUGUUAUCCUGUUUUUUUAAUUGAAGUAAAAAUAAAUGAAGUCAUUACUACUAUUAAGAAAAGAAAGAUAUUUAAAAAUUUCGUAAAUACUAAUAAACUAAAUCCUUACUUCCUGUUCUUGACCAUCUCGAUGAAAUGUGUUAGCUCUGAUUCUUCCGGGUUAUUUCUAGGACGGAGCAUGUCGCCAAUUAAACGGAUGAAUUCUUCUCGGAAUGUCACUGGCCAAUUUGGUAAAGAUUUUACCUUUGCUUCUCCACUUGUUAGAAAGAUACAUUUCGGAUCCAAGGAGCCACGAUCAUUGUCACGUCCGUACAAUUCUUGUAAAACAAACCUUGAGAAUAAAAAUAACAAUUAGAUGAUAUUCAUUACCUAUACAAUAAUCAUAAUCUAAUUAAGAUAUCAAAUUAGUGGUUGAAUCACUCACCUGGUUAUGUUCCGGCACUUAACACUGAGACGAUCGCCAUCCCAUAUAGAUUCCAGACCAUCUCUCUGUAGAAUAGAGUCUAAAGAUAACAUACCCUGCUGUGAAAUUAAAGCACAACAUCCACCGUUACUUCAUUUCAUGUAAACUAAAACUACUGAACAAUGGAGACUGGUGUUUGAACAUGAAGAACAAUAAACAACUAUAUGGACUUCUCAAAAAAAUAAAAAUAUAUGGCAACCACAGGAUGUGGUCAAUCAGAUAAAAAUAUUAAUAUAACUUUGACGAAAUGUAUAUAAUUCAUACUGAGUGAUCUCGCGCGCAGAGAGUUGAUUAAAUUUAUCACCCAAGAGGCAAGAGCCCCUUGUUCAUCAGUCAGCCUUUUAUACAUUAUUUCACCUCAUUUAUUAAUUAUAUUUUAAUGUUUUAAUUAAGUAAAUUUAGUAAAAAAUCAAUAAAAACUUUACUCUUUAAAUAUUCUUAUCUUCAUCAGGAAUGUUACUUGAGUUUCAAGCCCAUAUAAAUAGUUAUGAAAUUACUUUUUUGCCCCAAAUUAAAUCAUAAAAAAGUCCAUGAUUAUGGAAAUGGAUCCUCUCUGGAUCCUUAUGCUAGGGAUCCCUACAUCUCAGCCGUUCAUCUUAUAUUGUACGGCUAGUUUUCGUCAGUUACUAUUUGUGUUUAAUUUUAAAUAAUAAAAAUUAAAUAAUUUCUAACCGCACGAUACACGAUGAACCGUUGAGAUGCGAGGAUCCCUAGGAUUCCCACAUAAUGGAUCCAAAGAGGAUCCAUUUCCCAUGAUCAUCUCUCCCAAAAAUGCUUCUUUUAUGCUCGUGAAGAUAACUCAGAUCUCUCUCUCUCUCUCUCAUUGAUGAAUCAAUACAUAUUUUCUUAUGUGUCACUGUUGUUUAAUAUUUUCUCAUUUAGGCACAUUUAUAGAAUAUAAUUGAAGAAAGUUAAAUAAAAUACAUUAAUAAAUUAACUUCUUUAAUGGGGAACAUUGAAUAAAACACAUUAGAUAAUAAAAUAAAAAUAGAAUAUGAAUAUGAAUUAAAGUACACAUCUAUGGACUAUAAUCAAUAUGUAAUCUAACAAUAGAUUAUUUUAUUAAAUUGCAAUCUUUUUAAGUGCUAAAGUUCAAAAACCCCUUUUUUUCUCUUAUAAUGUGUAAUAACAAUGUUGAAUAUUUACGUACAAUUGCAUUAUUUAUUGUUAGAUAAAUAUUUACGUACAAUUGCAUUAAUUAUUCUUAAAGAGUAAUUACAUUUUAUCUCCUCAGAUUUGGAUGCAAUUAUAACCUUAUACAUGUUUAAAACAUUUCAACCCUAUAUAUUUUGUUAUUAUUUCAAGGGAUGUGCUAUCCACACAUCAUUUUUUACUUCUCACACACCUUUUAUUAAUUUAUGUCAUUUGAUCUUAUUCAAUUCAUCUAAUUCGACGGUCGAAAAUUAAAAAUGUAUGUUAGAAGUAAAAAAUGAUGUGUGGAUAUCACAUCUUUAUUUCAAUUGCAAGUCAUCAAUGGAUUAAACAUUGAUUGGGCCGAAAUGUAAAUUCCAGAUCCAGACAAGGCGACAAAGAUCUUUUUAAGUACGAUGGCUUCCUUGCGUCAACUACAGUUCACAUGAAAGGACGUUGAAGUCUCACAUCUCGAACAACAUAACAUUCUUUACAAAUCUUUACACGUAUUUAUAUUCUACGCUCCUUUUGACCACUGAGACUUGUUCUCCACGGAAUUGUACAUUCUAUAGAGCACUUUGGAUGGACUUGCAAUGCAAGUAGGGUAUCCACCGACGGUAUAAAUGUGGAGGAACAUAAAACAUUUUCUUUAACAAGAAACAGAUUGAAAAAACACACACAACAGAAAC
rnacentral:lncRNA from 1 species